rnacentral:tRNA from 1 species
GCACCUGUAGCUCAGUUGGAUAGAGCAACGGAUUUCUAAUCCGUCGGUCGCAGGUUCGAAUCCUGCCAGGUGCG